rnacentral:rRNA from 1 species
GGACUACUGGGGUAUCUAAUCCUGUUUGCUCCCCACGCUUUCGCACCUCAGCGUCAGUAAUGGACCAGUGAGCCGCCUUCGCCACUGGUGUUCCUCCGAAUAUCUACGAAUUUCACCUCUACACUCGGAAUUCCACUCACCUCUUCCAUACUCCAGAUCGACAGUAUCAAAGGCAGUUCCAGGGUUGAGCCCUGGGAUUUCACCCCUGACUGAUCGAUCCGCCUACGUGCGCUUUACGCCCAGUAAUUCCGAACAACGCUAGCCCCCUUCGUAUUACCGCGGCUGCUGGCAC